rnacentral:rRNA from 1 species
UUCCUACCGAGCUGGGUGAUAGCUGGUUGCCUGUAAAACGAAUUUAAGUUCCCCCUCAGCCCCCUCCCUAAGACAAACCACCAAAUCCCCAUGCAGUGGGCUAAGAGCCAUUUAAAGGGGGUACAGCCCCUUUAAAAAAGGACACAACCUCCACUAGCGGAUAACCUCGCCUCACCCUAACCCUGUGGGCCUUAAAGCAGCCACCCCCAAAGAACGCGUCAAAGCUCCAUAAACCAAAAAUUCUAAAACUGUGUAAAUCCCUAACCCACAACAGGCCAACCUACAACUGUAGGUGAACCAAUGCUAAAACGAGUAACCAGGACACUAAGUCCCCUAAAGCGCCAACCUAUACACCAUUAACAGCACAACCACAAUACCAAGUCCCCGACCAAACAUUGAACUCACCCUGUUAGACCAACCCAGGAGCGCACAUUA